ensembl:lncRNA
GCAACUUCCUGUGGAGCACCAAGCAGGCCCCAUCCUGGGAGGCCUGAUUCUGCUCAGUAAGCUUGCUCUGGAUUUUUCCUGAGACUAAAACCUUGAGGAGAUAAACUGUCCCAUGAAUGGUGAAUUUCAUGGUGACAGGACAGUUUCUGUUUGUGUUUGGGUUCUCUGGGCAGAAACCCUGAGCUCAGAGGGGAACCCCACCCACGACAUCAGAGCCCUCGGGCUGGGUCAUAUGACCUCAGUUGGCCCUGUGACCGAGCAUUUCUCUUGGUGACAUCAUCUCCACUCAGACUGCCCAGGUAUUUCAUGGCCUCUUGGGACCAGCAGGAAGUUGCAUCAUCUCCCAUGCAUGACUCUUAAUUUGUUUGUCUUUGUUUAAUUGUCAACCUGCACUGGGGGCCAGAGACAAAAUCAGACAGCCAGGCAGCAAACAUUUCCUACAGGGAGCUGCCUUGGCUGGGCCCUGGACUUCCCCAGCUCUGCCGGCCCGAGACCCUGAUGUCUUGGGACAGACCUCAGCUUCCGAAGCUCUCUAGAUCCGCCUCGAUGGCCCCAGCUACUGAGUCCCAGGCCUGUGUGUGCUCCUGUCUCCGCUCACAGCUCACUGUGUCCGGCCUGCCCAGCACCAGGGCUGCCUGAGGGAAGAAGAGACCAAGGCUGGCAGGGGGACCUCCCCGGGGAUCCAGAGCUGACUUCAUUGGCUCCCUCGCCCACCCGCAUGGCGCCCUUUGUCACCGGGAAGCCGAGUCUUGAUGUACAAGGAACAGGGUCUUGCUAUGCAUUCCAGGCUGGCCUUGAAUUCAUGGCAUUCCUCCUGCCUCAGCCUCCCCAGCGCUGGGAAUACAGCUUGGCUGCUAUAGCCCAGCCCUGGACCUCUUCUGAUUCUGGGUGCUGCCUGAUACCUGAAUCAUUCUGCCCUCAAAUUAACUCUGUUGAGUUUAUUUUGUCUAAAGUAUGUUGCUGUUGUUGUUAAUACCUUAUCUGUAAACUGGAAACAACUACACGAACUUCACCCAGUCCACAAGAAUUAAAUGAAAAAUCACAACUGAAUCACUUAGCAAAGUACCCAGCAGAGAGUUAAUGCUCACAAAUACUGUUAGUACAAAUCUUUGUUCUGUAUAACGGCCCAGCAUGCCAUACCGGGCUUUGUUCUGUAUAACUGCCCAGGAUGCCAUACCGGGCUCAACAGUUUGGGGGGUGCUUAUUCCACAGUCCUCUCUGCUGGAUCCAAGUUCUAAGGUUCUCUGGUUGCCCUCUCCUGCCCCAGGUUCUCACCACCCAAGCUCCCUUGGGCCCAAGUUGAACCAACUUCCUGCUCCUUGCAGCCCAAGUCCCCUUACCCACUGACACCCCCGCCCCCAGCCCCGGCACCAGGCAGGGAAGGAAGGACCCAGCUCCUGUGCAGUCGCCCCGCUUGCUUGCUGUGGCCUUGAGCAGUGCUCUGGAAGUCUCUUCUUCACCUCCUCAUGGAGAGCGGGGCAGGUUGCACAUACGCGCACUCCCAACACUCCGGGAGGCUGAGGCCGGAGGAUCGAAGCCAAGUCCCCUUCUUGUGAAUCUGCCCCAUCCCAGGAGUAGAAAUGAGUCUCUCCAGCAGCAGCUGUUCCAUACCUGAGCAUCAUUCCCUUCCCUUCGAGGAUCCCCCAGGAUGGUGCCUGUGGGGGUCUCCUCCGCCCCUUCCCUCAUGCUGACCUGAGGCCAUUCCCCCAGCACCACCUUCUCUCUGGCUUCUCUCUACACAGCCAACCCCUGGCCGCCCUCGGGCACCCCGUGGGUGUCACUUUGUCCAGGACAGCUCUCGGUGCCAUGGCAGCACUGCACUGGCACCAGGGGCUGGGCUGGGAGUCGGGUGCAGAGGGGAGAGAGGAGGUCCCGGAUCUGCCAGAGCACAGUGCAGAAGCCAAGGUGACAGAGGAAGAGGAGCCCCAGCUGACUUGCUGUUGGAGGAGGGGCCUGGACAGAAGAGGCGGCUCCCUGUGUGUGCCCAGGAAAGGUUCUACCUCCCUCCGGCUCCUUGCUCAACACCCUCUGCUUCCUGGAUACCUUGAUUCGAGCAGCUGUUCCCCUGCCAGGGCCCUCUUCCAUGCUGUCCUGCCUUGGAGCCAACGGACUACAGACUGAAACCUCUACAAACAUAAGCCAAAAUAAACCUCUGCUCCCACUAGUUGUAGGUGUUGGAUAUGAGAAAGUACUGAAGACACUAGCACGGUGCAAAGCACUCAGUACAUCAAUACAUGCCCACUGAGGUGGUGGCUGAUUGGCGGGACCCUGGGCAAAGGCCUCUGGACGGCUGGAAGGUGAGGCAGAGGGAGCUCCUGCUCCCCCAGAUACACACGGGGCAGGCAGGGGAGGCUGUGCCAAACGCAGCUGUCCCGGGCUUAGUCUGCUUUCUGUUGCUAUCACAAAAUACCUGAGACCAGGUAAUUUAUAAAGAAUGGAAGUUUAUUUGGCUCACAGUUCUGGAGGCUGGAAAGUCCAGAAGCACAGCACUAGGGUCUCCCCAGAGUCCAGUGAGGGCCUCUUACUGCAUACAACACGUGGUGAGGCAGAGCAGCCUCGAGUGGCGUUUCUCUUCCUCUUCUUACAAAGCCACUCAUGCACUGUGGGCUCCUUCUUCUCCUGGUGGCAGCUAAUAUAAUCCUCCAAACACCUUAACAUAUGGAUUUGAGGACUAAGUUUCCAACACACGAGCUCAGCCAUGGUGACCCCCUUCCACCUCCACAAACUUGACCUGAGAGGCUUCCAUGGCUCAGACCCGGAAGGGAAGCAGACAAGAGAUCCAGCAGUGAGCAGGGCGGGAGGACAAGGAGAGGCUUUGAGGCCCUCUGGGAGGAUCCUGAAGCGGUGCCUAGGACACCCAGGUGUGGGGCAGGUGCCUCGGGCUCCUAGUUACCCCUCACACCAGGGCUGUGCCAGGGGCACCUUCUGAGGACAGCUGGCUUUCUGGGUCGACUUCCCUGGAGAAAGGGUGUGGAUGGGCGUGGCUCGGGCCGAGGGGCUAAGCCAGAUCGCUGGGGUUUAUGCCCAGGGUGUGGUGUGAGCCAUUCAUGACUGGGAGGCUUCUAACCAUUUCUAGACCUACACGUGGAAAGCCAGCCCCGGGAAAGGCCUGACCGCCAUGGG